CUACGGGGCGCUGCAGUGGGGAAUAUUGGACAAUGGACCAAAAGUCUGAUCCAGUAAUUCUGUGUGUUUGAUGAAGGCCUUCGGGUUGUAAAGAACUUUAAGUAGGGAAGAAGAAAGUGACGGUACCUACAGAAUAAGCGACGGCUAAAUACGUGCCAGCAGCCGCGGUAAUACGUAUGUCGCAAGCGUUAUCCGGAAUUAUUGGGCAUAAAGCGCGUCUAGGCGGUUUACUAAGUCUGAUGUGAAAAUGCGGGGCUCAACUCCGUAUUGCGUUGGAAACUGGUAGACUAGAGUAUUGGAGAGGUAGGCGGAACUACAAGUGUAGAGGUGAAAUUUGUAGAUAUUUGUAGGAAUGCCAAUGACGAAGGUAGCUUACUGGACAAAUACUGACGCUGAAGCGCGAAAGCUAGGGGAGCAAACAGGAUUAGAUACCCGUGUAGUC
rnacentral:rRNA from 1 species